rnacentral:rRNA from 1 species
AUUGAACGCUGGCGGCAGGCCUAACACAUGCAAGUCGAGCGAGCGGCGGACGGGUGAGUAAUGUCUGGGAAACUGCCCGUUGGUGGGGGAUAACUACUGGAAACGGUAGCUAAUACCGCAUACCAUCAGAUGUGCCCAGAUGGGGUUAGCUCGGGGGUGGGGUAACGGCUCACCUUGGCGACGCUGCCUAGCUGGGCUGGGAGGAUGACCAGCCACACUGGAACUGAGACACGGUCCAGACUCCUACGGGAGGCAGCGGUGGGGAAUGUGGGACAAUGGGCGCAAGCCUGAUGCAGCCAUGCCGCGUGUGUGAAGAAGGCCUUCGGGUUGUAAAGCACUUUCAGCGGUGAGGCGUUACCCGCAGAAGAAGCACCGGCUAACUCCGUGCCAGCAGCCGCGGUAAUUC